CAAAAAGGAAAAGAAGGAAAAAGUUAUACUUUUUCUGCUUCUAGUUUCUACCAGACGUAAACUGCCGUCGGUUCGCUAAAGACUUGUUCCCAGUCCAGUGGUUACCUCCCUGCGUACCAUUUCACCGCCGUUUCGAGCAUGGAUCUCACAAAUGAUAAUAUGAAUGAAUGCUUUGACGAUGACAACAAAGAGUUUCAUCAAAACCUGCCGGAACAAACGCCGACCGUGUCCGCUGAAGAUUACGACCUCGGCAGCCAAGAUUUCGAUUCAUGCAUGUCGCCGCGAGCAGAUGUGCGUCCA
rnacentral:lncRNA from 1 species